GAUGAACGCUGGCGGCGUGCUUAACACAUGCAAGUCGAACGGAAAGGCCCAAGAUUGCUUGGGUACUCGAGUGGCGAACGGGUGAGUAACACGUGGGUGAUCUGCCCUGCACUUCGGGAUAAGCCUGGGAAACUGGGUCUAAUACCGGAUAGGACCACAUUUUGGAUGGUGUGGUGGAAAGUUUUUCGGUGUGGGAUGAGCUGGCGGCCUAUUAGCUUGUUGGUGGGGUAAUGGCCUACCAAGGCGACGACGGGUAGCCGGUCUGAGAGGGCGACCCGCCCCACGAGGACUGAGACACGCACCAGACUCCAGCGGGAGGCCGCAGUGCGGAGUGUUGGAGCAUGGGCGAAUGUCUGAUCAUGCACGGAAGCCUGCAGCAGGAAGGCCUCGUGGUGGUUGACUGCUUUUGUGCGGUAAGAACCGUUUCUGGUUAACACACCGUGCUUGUGACGGUACCGUAAGAAGAAGCACCGGCUAACUACGUG
rnacentral:rRNA from 1 species